GAGAGUUCAUGCAGCUGGAGUUACAGGUGAUUGUGAGCUGCCCAACCUGAGACCCUGGAUACUGGGAGCUGAGCUCAGAUCCUCUAGAAGAGCAGUAUGUUCUCAUAUCUGAGCUGUUUCUCCGGCCCCAAGUGUGACAAUAUUUCUUAGUUUCUAAUUCUUGAAACCUUAACCAUCGCUUAUUUAUCCAUUGUUCCAACUUUGGUAACAAACUUAACCCCGAAGUCUUUCUGUAAACACCAUCUGAAUUCUAUUUUCUGAUGGAAUACAGUCCAAGUUCUAGCAGUCUCCAAUCAUGACAAUUAUGCGUGGUUUAAUUUUACAUGGUAACAAUAUGGUUAAGACACAUAAUUCCCUUCCAGACUGAAGAGUUAGUAUCGGGGUAUGGCUUUCCCCUUGUAGCUCUCCAAUCUGCUGAUCCUGUACCCUCCAACACAAUAGCUUUCCCAGAAUAAAGUGCUUUAAUACAAUGAACAUACUGCUACCAAAUGCAAAUCCUGAUGUGUCCACCAAAUCACUUGAAUCCGGCCAAGAGUUGGAAUCGGCAGGCAGGUGAGAUAACACACACCUUCAACCCUAGCCCUGGGGAGACAGAGGCAGGCAGAUCUGGGAGUUCGAGGCCAGCCUAGCCUACAGAGCAAGUUCCAGGAUAGCCAGAGCUACACAGAAAAACCCUGACAAUAAACAAACAAAUAAAUGUGCUUCAUAAAUCUGCAGAUGCCCUGUACAUAAAAAUGAAGGAUGUUUUUGCUUGUAUCGUGCAACAGUUACAACACAAGGUGAUGUUUAGGAAGACAGCUUCUCUUCAGGACUUUGAAACUUCUCACAGGGUCGUGAAGACUUCUCAACUGCAAUGUCUUUGUCAGUUGUUUGUGAGCCGUAAUUCCUCUGCAGUCCAUCUCAAAGAUACUUGGUGAUUUAUCCUCUCUUGCAAAGCAGGCCUGUUUCUGUCAGCGGAUGUUGUAUCCGCAAGGUUCCCGAGACUUCAUCCAUAGACGCAAUCAGCUGGUCUGCCUACUUUCUUCUUCCAGUCAAGCUUUGACUAAAAUAAUACGAAUGCUGAGGACCCUACUGAUUAAGACCUUCAGUUUAGGAGGACAAGACAAAAGGUUUCAACUGCGUUUGAGGCAUACACUUCGAUAAGGCUUGUCAUGUGUACAUCACAAGAUGCUCUAGGACUACCUGCAAUCCAGCAAGCAAGAUGGCCGGACUGCAGUCUAGAAACUUUCAAGUCAAAAGAAACGAGUUACCAUAAGCUGAUUGAACCAUGCCUGUCCGUGAGCCUCUUUCCCUUCCCCAGGAACGAGAUGUGAAGCAGGAGUCUGCAGCUAUGCUGAUAUGUAUAUAGUGGAGAAGAUCCGAGUCUUCCUGGAAAGUUCUUGUGGGAUAGUAACUGUUAGGACACUAGCUAUCUGAGCAAAGGAUCAUCUUGUCAAAAGAAUGUCUUCCAAUUGCCUUUGAAUUCUGCAUCCUUUAAGUAAAGCCAUUGCAUCAGGAUUCAAAGCAGUUUUUAGAAAGCAAACGAUUUCUAUAUCAUACAUCUUCUUUUUCUUGGUUAUUUUGAAGAUGUAGCUCUUGAAUUUAAAAAAUAUGCCUUGUCUAAGUUAAGGAAGGAAUCUUACAAUGGUCACUUCUAAAUAUAAAGCAUAAACUCUUUUAUUGUACACUUUAUAACAGUCAAAUCUAAGAACCUAAAUAACGAGAAACAAGAAUUACUAAGACACCUGAUUUAAACUGAAUGUUUUAACUAUUCUUUGGCUUAGAUUAUUUUCUUUUCUCUUUUUGUUAUGUCUCUGAAUUAAAAAAGACAAUGAGAGGCCAGGAAAAAUGAAAAAAGUGCUACCAAGAUGUGACAAGCAGUCAUGCAAACAAGAAUUGUUCACUUUCUUGGAAAAUAAAAAAUAAAAAAAACUUA
rnacentral:sRNA from 1 species